UCCAAUAUCUCUUCCGUAAUUUACUCCCCCAUAUGCUCCCACAUAAAUUCCUUUUCUUUUAACUUUCUCUCUUUUAAUAAUUACACAUGUGAAACACUGAUUUUGAUAAAAAAAAAAAAUAGUACAAUAUUUUUGAGGAAGUGGGAGUGGAAGUGGUUGCCCCACAGAAUCAGAUUGAGCCGAAUUCUAUGGUGGAUGAUGAUUAUAAUGAUGAGGAGAUUGAUGUUGAUGAGCCUAAUUUUGAUGUUCAUGAUCAAUUCUAUUUGCUGAGCUUAUAUUCUAUGCUAUGUACUGAUUUGUCGUAACAAAGACUGCAAGUGGGUGUUGAGGACAUCUUCUAUGAAUGAAUCAAAAACUAAUGCUUAUAUAAGAAAUGGGUGUUGAAGGCGUCUUAUCCUUAUUCAUACUCCUUAUACAUAUAUUGUGGGUGUGUAUAUACUACGUAAUUUGGCAACUAUUAUAGUAAAUAGUUGUUGAAACGUAAUGUGUAUUACACAAUUAUAUACA